rnacentral:rRNA from 1 species
GACGAACGCUGGCGGCGUGCUUAACACAUGCAAGUCGAACGGAAAGGCCCUGCUUUUGUGGGGUGCUUGAGUGGCGAACGGGUGAGUAACACGUGAGUAACCUGCCCUUGACUUUGGGAUAACUUCAGGAAACUGGGGCUAAUACCGGAUAGGAGCUCCUGCUGGAUGGUGGGGGUUGGAAAGUUUCGGCGGUUGGGGAUGGACUCGCGGCUUAUCAGCUUGUUGGUGGGGUAGUGGCUUACCAAGGCUUUGACGGGUAGCCGGCCUGAGAGGGUGACCGGCCACAUUGGGACUGAGAUACGGCCCAGACUCCUACGGGAGGCAGCAGUGGGGAAUAUUGCACAAUGGGCGGAAGCCUGAUGCAGCAACGCCGCGUGCGGGAUGACGGCCUUCGGGUUGUAAACCGCUUUCGCCUGUGACGAAGCGUGAGUGACGGUAAUGGGUAAAGAAGCACCGGCUAACUACGUG